rnacentral:lncRNA from 1 species
AUGACAAAGCACAGUCUUGCAGAGCAAGCAGAUAGUGAGAAAAUCUCUGACUACCCACCGCCUGCCAGCCCUGUGGACAAACCUGAUGAUGGGGCCCCUGGAGAUGUGGCCCCUGAGGCCCCAGUGGGGGAGACUGAUGACGAGAACACUGUCUCCAAUAAGACCUCAGUGGAGUCAGUGGAGGCCAACGAGAGCAACAACAACAACACCAGCAUCACCGCCAGGAUCGCUUCAACAACUCCAAGAGGUUGGUAUAGUUCAAUAUCUGCUACAACCUCUGUGUGUAUGUGUGUCUUUCUGACGGCUGGGGGUGAAGAAGACACAUUUCCGUUGAACAUUUUUAUACAUCUUCUUCUAACGUCAUGGUAUCUAUGUCUAUUGAUGCCGUUAAUUGAAUAUUGUUCCUCGCCGUUUAAAAAAAGUGGCCAAAAACAAAUCACAUCUCUCUUUUCACUUCUUUGCGUCAUUUGAAAACACAACGAGACAGAUUGGUUUAUCCACUUCCUCUUUCUCUGUAAUUGACUCAGGGAUACAAUGUUGAACAGAAGUGUUCUACUAUGCCUUGAACAUUCCUCUCCUGGGUGAGAAUGUAAUUAACACAGCAUGGUGAUAGCACCACAACUCCCAGACUAUGUCCAUAUCUCAGCGUGGAGGAUUCCUCUAUAAUUGGGUGGUGAAGACUGAACCAACAACUCAACACGACAGUUAGUUCAAGCUGUCGUUUUCUAAAGCAACAUUCAGUUGGGCUCUAAUAGCGGUGGCGUUCCUCACAGCAGUGGAACAUAAAUGAACGCACACUGGGGACACUUGAGUCAGUUUUGAAUGUCUGGUCAAAACCGAUGGAAAGCAUCACUAUAUGGUCAAGCCAUGGCAAGUGAAAGGCAGUGGUUAGCAGCAGAUGUGUGUGUUUGACCCUUCCCCUUUACUAAGACAUGUCGUAGAGCUCAAACCAAGAGAGAGAACGCCCGUUGUCCUUUCAGCCGUUCAGCGGUCCAAAAAUGCAUGGAACAUUUUGUAAACCGUGGCUGUAGAGUCACUCGUAAGGAUGGCUGUAGGAUUCCAUUGUUUAGUCCCACUACUGUCAGAUGGUUCUACAGUAUAUGAUUCAGAACACAUGUUCUACCAUCGCAUCAGUAUUGAAUGUUCUACUUUGGCAGGGAUCUGUAGGUCUGCUGCCAUUACUCAAGCAUCCUUCAGUAACCAGUAGCAGGUGAAAUAUAGCCAUAGAUCUAGGGUUAAAACUCCCCACAGUCAUCACUUCAUCUAUGCCCUGUCUCCUCAUUAUUUUGUUUCUCUCACACACACUUUUUCUCUCUCACACACUUUCUUCUC